rnacentral:rRNA from 1 species
GAUGAACGCUGGCGGCGUGCCUAAUACAUGCAAGUCGAGCGAAGCGGGGACGGGUGAGUAACACGUGGAUAACCUCCUAUAAGACUGGGAUAACUUCGGAAAACAGGAGCUAAACCGGAUACAUCUAGAUGGAUCCUCGCUGCAGUAGCUAGUUGGUAAGGUAACGGCGUACCAAGGCAACGAUGCAUAGCCGGCCUGAGAGGGUGAUCAGCCACACUGGAACUGAGACACGGUCCAGACUCCGACGGGAGGCAGCAGUAGGGAAUCUGCCGCAAUGGGCGAAAGCCUGACGGAGCAACGCCGCGUGAGUGAUGAAGGUCUUCGGAUCGUAAAACUCUGUUAUGAGGGAAGCGGUACCUAAUCAGAAAGCCACGGCUAACUACGUGCCAGCAGCCGCGGUAAUAG